GUUCAACCAACAAGUCCUAAAUAGGACGAAACACGCGUCCUGGAU
rfam:Schistosoma rodhaini strain Burundi genome assembly, scaffold: SROB_scaffold0012214